UACGUAGGGUGCAAGCGUUGUCCGGAAUUAUUGGGCGUAAAGAGCGUGUAGGCGGCCAGGUAGGUCUGCUGUGAAAACUCGAGGCUUAACCUCGAGCUGUCGGCGGAAACCAUCUGGCUAGAGUCCGGAAGAGGAGAAUGGAAUUCCCGGUGUAGUGGUGAAAUGCGCAGAUAUCGGGAGGAACACCGGUGGCGAAGGCGGUUCUCUGGGCCUUACCUGACGCUGAGGAGCGAAAGCGUGGGGAGCGAACAGG
rnacentral:rRNA from 1 species